AUUGAACGCUGGCGGCGUGCCUAACACAUGCAAGUCGAGCGGUAACAGGUGUAGCAAUACAUGCUGACGAGCGGCGGACGGGUGAGUAACGCUUGGGAAUCUGCCUAUUAGUGGGGGACAACCCGGGGAAACUCGGGCUAAUACCGCAUACGCUCUACGGAGGAAAGCCGGGGACCGCAAGGCCUGGCGCUAAUAGAUGAGCCCAAGUCGGAUUAGCUAGUUGGUAGGGAACGGCCUACCAAGGCUACGAUCCGUAACUGGUCUGAGAGGACGACCAGUCACACCGGAACUGAGACACGGUCCGGACUCCUACGGGAGGCAGCAGUGGGGAAUAUUGGACAAUGGGGGAAACCCUGAUCCAGCGACGCCGCGUGGGUGAAG
rnacentral:rRNA from 1 species